rnacentral:rRNA from 1 species
AUGGUUGUGUCCGUUGUGCUGCUCACCAGCUGGCUCUUAUCAGUGGGCCUACCCUCCCAAGCCCUAAAUGUGAAAUCAAAGACCUUCCGUUCCCCUCCCAUCUUAUUGGCCCUUGGAUCAGUCUCAAACAAGUACUACUAUGAUGUUCUUCCCCGAGGCCACCUUGCCGUCAAGAGCUUUGACGCCGAGGUAGUCGACGAGAACGGCAUCCCCGUUCCACUCCACGAGACGUACCUGCAUCACUGGGUUGCAGUACCAUACUAUGCUUUGAAGAAGGGCCAUGGCGCGCGGAAGGGGAUACUCACAAGGAGGAACGAUGGAGUCUGCAAGACCAGUCUAGGGCAGUACUUCGGGCAUGGUUCUGAGACUCGCCACACCUCCACAUGGGUCCCUGAUCGUUAUGGCAUAGAGACCGGCAAUCCGGAGAAGGCCCCUCCAGGCUACGAGGAGAAAUGGUCCCUCAAUAUUCACGCCAUCGACACAAGGGGAGUUAUCGACAAGCCUGGGUGCACCGAGUGCAAGUGCGACCUUUACAACGUUACGGUUGGCGAGGACGGGCGAGCAAUCUCGAAGAACUACACUGGAGGAAUGCUCUGCUGCUAUGAUCAGACGCGGUGUCGGGUCAAACAAGGGUUCAUUGGGAACGCGCGGAAGCUGUUCUUUCAGUACACGGUGACGUGGCUCGACUGGACCGAUGCCAUGGUGCCGGUCAGUAUCUACGUAAUUGAUGUCAUUGAUACCGCUCUGCUCGCUGGAACUGCCCAGGGUUCUUGCAAGGUAUAUAUGCGUGGAGUAUCAUGCAGUCCAGAAAACCGAGCCCACAAUGAGUGUAUCCAUGUCAAGGCUGCUAGAGUGAUCUUACCUCGUGGAGGCGACAUCGUGCUCGGCGUCGGGCACCAGCACUCGAGCGGAACUGGUGCUUCUUUGCAUGGCCAGGACGGACGCCUUCUCUGUGAAUCGCUUCCAAUCUACGGCACAGGGAACGAGGCAAACUACAUGGUCGGCAUGUCGACGUGCUACCCCAAGCCGGGAUCCACCAAGAUGAGCGACGGCGAGGUGCUCAGCAGCGACCGCCGGCACACCGGCGUCAUGGGCCUGUUCUACGUCCUCGUACGUGGCCUAGCUAGCCGCCAUCCCGGCCGGUGCUGA